CCACGACCCUCUUCCCAUCCAAGUAGAAGCUAUAUACCCUGAAAGAACAUUAUUCCACACACUAUUUAAAAAUAUAUAGGGAGUAUAUUCCUUCUUUCCCCAAAAUAGAAAUAUUCUCC